CGCCUCUUGCCCCUAUAAGAGGUCCAGCCUGCCCAGUGACUAAGUUCAACGGCCGCGGUAUCCUAACCGUGCGAAGGUAGCGUAAUCACUUGUUCUUUAAAUGAGGACUAGUAUGAAUGGCACCACGAGGGUUAUGCUGUCUCCUUUUUCUAAUCAAUGAAACUGAUCUCUCCGUGAAGAAGCGGGGAUAUAAAUAUAAGACGAGAAGACCCUAUGGAGCUUUAAACCAUGUAACACUGGCUUACACAUCAUAAAAUUUCAGAAUUAUUAUAAUUAGCCUAGCCACUAUGAUUGCUAGUUUUAGGUUGGGGUGACCACGGAGCAAAAAUUAACCUCCAUGUUGAACGGAGCUACUCCUGAGCCGAAAGCCACGACUUUAAGCACUAAUAAAUUAACAUUAAUUGACCCAAUAUUUUGACCAACGAACCAAGUUACCCUAGGGAUAACAGCGCA
rnacentral:rRNA from 1 species